rnacentral:rRNA from 1 species
CGGACGGGUGAGGAAUACAUCGGAAUCUACUCUGUCGUGGGGGAUAACGUAGGGAAACUUACGCUAAUACCGCAUACGACCUACGGGUGAAAGCAGGGGAUCUUCGGACCUUGCGCGAUUGAAUGAGCCGAUGUCGGAUUAGCUAGUUGGCGGGGUAAAGGCCCACCAAGGCGACGAUCCGUAACUGGUCUGAGAGGAUGAUCAGUCACACUGGAACUGAGACACGGUCCAGACUCCUACGGGAGGCAGCAGCG